rnacentral:rRNA from 1 species
UACGGGGGGGGCAAGCGUUGUUCGGAAUUACUGGGCGUAAAGGGCUCGUAGGUGGCCAACUAAGUCAGACGUGAAAUCCCUCGGCUUAACCGGGGAACUGCGUCUGAUACUGGAUGGCUUGAGUUUGGGAGAGGGACGCGGAAUUCCAGGUGUAGCGGUGAAAUGCGUAGAUAUCUGGAGGAACACCGGUGGCGAAGGCGGCGUCCUGGACCAACACUGACACUGAGUGAGCGAAAGCGUGGGGAGCGAACAGG